rnacentral:rRNA from 1 species
GAUGAACGCUAGCGGCAGGCCUAACACAUGCAAGUCGAGGGGCAGCACGAAAAAGCUUGCUUUUUUGGUGGCGACCGGCGCACGGGUGCGUAACGCGUAUGCAACCUACCCUGUACUGGAGGAUAGCCCGAAGAAAUUCGGAUUAAGACUCCAUAGUAUCAAGACACGGCAUCGUGAUUUGAUUAAAGGUUACGGUACAGGAUGGGCAUGCGUCCCAUUAGCUAGAUGGUAAGGUAACGGCUUACCAUGGCAACGAUGGGUAGGGGGCCUGAGAGGGUGAUCCCCCACACUGGUACUGAGACACGGACCAGACUCCUACGGGAGGCAGCAGUGAGGAAUAUUGGACAAUGGAGGCAACUCUGAUCCAGCCAUGCCGCGUGCAGGAAGAAUGCCCUAUGGAUUGUAAACUGCUUUUAGCAGAGAAGAAAAGCAGUCAUUUAUGAU